GACACAAUUAUAGAAUAGUUUGGGUUGGAAGCGGGCUUCAAGACCAUCUCAUCCACCUCCUGCCGUGGGCAGGGACAGCUUCCACUAGAGCAGGUUCCUUCAAGCUCCGUCCAGCCUGGCCUUGGACACUUCCAGGGAUGGGGCAGCCACAGUUUCUCUGGGGAACCUCUGGCAGGGCCUCACCACUCUCACAGGGAGAAAUUCGUUCCUAAUAUCCAAUCUAACCCUGCUCCCUAGUGGUAAGCAAUUCUUCUGGGUCCUGUAACUACGUGCUGUUGCAAGUAAAUUCUCCCUGUAAGUUCUCUUCAUGUACUGAAAGGCCACAAUGCAUUCUCUUCACCCCAAAGCCUUCUCUUUUCCGGGCUGAACAAUCCCAACUCUCUCAGCCUUUUAUGACAGCAGUAGUGUUCCAUCCCCCGAUCAUCCUGGUGCCUCCUCUGGAUAUUCCAACAGGUCCGUGUUCCUUCUCUGCUGGGACCCCAGAACUGGAGGGAGAAAGCAUCCAGCAGGCACUGAAAUGUGUCAAAAUCCUCGCCCACAACUGAAGGACAAUGGAAGCAACCUCUAAAUCAUGGUGCUCUUUGGCAAAAAUGAAUUAAGCUUGCCUUCCGAUUUUGUACGCUGGUCUUGCCAAGUGGGGUAGAUUGUGUUUGCUUGGUGGUUUGGUGUGGUUAAACAAAUAUUUAAAAAGUAAAUAUCUAUGCUUAAUUAAGUAUCACCAUUGUUUAUGUUUAAAUAAAAUGUUUAAAUUACAA